GCUGGUUUCUCUGACUAGCAGAGAAAAUUACCGGUUUGGGGGUCUGUCUUAGGGUUUCCAUUGCUGCAAUGAAACCAUGACCAGAAGAUCAAGUUGGAGAGGAAAGGGUUUAUUCGGCUUACAUUUUUACCGCACUGUUCGUUCUUCGUUAAGGGAAGUCAGGACAAGAACUCAAAACAGGGCAGGAUCCUGGAGGCAGGAGCUGAUGCACAGGACAUGACAGGACUUCUGGAAGUGAUCCUCCGACCUCAUCCUCCAGAGAAGAUGGGACAGUAGGAGGUGUGGAUGUUUGUGAGGAACCACGUGGGUGCCAGGGUUCCCUGUAACUCAUCUGUAGACCAGGCUGGUCCGGACCUCAGAGAUCUGCCUGCCUCUGCCUCCCGAGUACUGGGGGGUCUAAGAUGAAC
ensembl:lncRNA